rnacentral:rRNA from 1 species
GACGAACGCUGGCGGCGUGCUUAACACAUGCAAGUCGAACGGAAAGGCUCCAGCUUGCUGGAGUACUCGAGUGGCGAACGGGUGAGUAACACGUGGGUAAUCUGCCCUUCACUCUGGGAUAAGCCUGGGAAACUGGGUCUAAUACUGGAUAUGACCUUUCUCCUUAUGGGGUGUGUUGGAAAGUUUUUCGGUGUAGGAUGAGCCCGCGGCCUAUCAGCUUGUUGGUGGGGUGAUGGCCUACCAAGGCGACGACGGGUAGCCGGCCUGAGAGGGUGAUCGGCCACAUUGGGACUGAGAUACGGCCCAGACUCCUACGGGAGGCAGCAGUGGGGAAUAUUGCACAAUGGGCGGAAGCCUGAUGCAGCGACGCCGCGUGAGGGAUGACGGCCUUCGGGUUGUAAACCUCUUUCAGCAGGGACGAAGCGUAAGUGACGGUAACUGAAGAAGAAGCACCGGCUAACUACGUG